CUCUACAUCUAGGAACUGUAUAGUAUUAGGGUGAUAGUGCAAUUGAAAUUUUAUAGUUUCAUGGCAGGAAUUGAGAUAAUCGAUGAAUUCCAUCAGUGACGGUUCCGUACCCUUCUACAGUAGAAAUACAUCAUCCACAUAGCGUAGCCAUGUGGAUAAUGUUUCUAAUUUUCCAUUAUUGAAACAAAUGCU